rnacentral:tRNA from 1 species
UACCUUGUAGCUCAGUUGGAAGAGCAUUGGACUAGCAAACCAAAGGUCAUGGGUUCGAUUCCCACCGUGGUCA